rnacentral:lncRNA from 1 species
AAAAAAGGGUCCAGGCAAUCCAGCAGAAAGUUUUCCAAAACUGAAGUACGGAAUCACCAGGCCACGGAGCGGAGGCCGCGCAGGACAACAGCGUCCGGAGCCAAAUCACAAAUAUCAGCCUCGCCGCUCCGGGGCGGGGAGGUGAGCGCCUUUCCCAUUUAAGGAUUCCAGAAGCGUCCCCGGAGCGACUUUCGCCCACUCCGCAUCCCCAAACUCGGC